AAUAUUGCAUUCUAGGUGGGCAGGGAAUCCAAAAAGUGUCUUUUAGCCUGAUAGCCUUGAUUGGAAGGCAACUAAAAGGAGCUGAUGUAUAACCAAAGCAUAUAGCAAGCAACAUCUAACAAAUUUGUGACAAAAGCCCAUGCUUCAGGUGUCCACAUCUCAGAUCAAAAGGACAAAGAGCAUAAAGGUCGUAAAAGUAUACUGGAUAUCAAAUUAGCUAGUUCUCAAAGCACACUUGCCUAUUCUGUCUCAUUAAAUUCUUUGGUGUCACAUUGGAGCGUCCCCAUAAAGAUACACAUGAAAGCCCACAUCUAUUACUGCUAUUCCCUUCCAACGAAUGCCACUGCACCAAGCUACCUCUAUCUUUUCUAGUAGUAUCCUUCAGACCCAGAAAUCAAAUCGAAACAAAACAAAGGCACAAGCAUGUUGAUGCCACUAGCUGGAAAAUUAGAGAACAUUGUAGCUGAAAUAAGGCUAUGAUUUGCAAAGAAAAACUUCUCCAUUUACUUCAAAAACAAAAGACUAUCUGAUAAAAGCAUGAUAGGAUUAAUUAAACUAACCUUCGAGAAACAUAGUCACAUCAAGCAUACAACUCUAAUAAAAGAUAACAUGUGGCUAAUUCUAUUUCACCAAUGCUUCUUUUAACAAUAUUAAAAUUUAUGCUAGAAAAAGAAAAUGUUUAAGUAAAAUAUCACACAACUGAACUAUUAACCAAAAAGAGAUGACUACAUAUGACAAUUCUUGCCAAGUAAAAUAAAGUUCAGUGCAGCACAUAGUCUACUCAUAAAGGAUCUCAAUACUUCAAAUAUAAUAAUAACAAUUCCUGCCAACGAAUUAACCGAGGAUGUCUGUCAAUCAGGUACCAAAUUCCUUGGACAAAACAACAUGAACAACAAAUCAAAUGCAGAUGUGAUACAAACUUUAAGCAACCGUAAAAAUUUUUCCCUAUAAGUUACUAAAACUGAUAAAUUCAAAGUGUUUCAACAAAACAUAACAUCAAGGUAGAUCAUUUGAUGCUCCAUUGAAGAAACAUACCAAUAUUAACAUAAACAUCAUCAUUAACCUUAGCAUAGAACUCAGCAUCCCAGGUAUCUGCAGCAUAAACUAAAAACAGCUUUGUCUUCUUUGGGCCUUCUUCUGAAGCUUCUACAUGAUUAUCCUGUUGAAAAUUAAAAUGUUUUCAUGGAAUUCAAAAUAAAAAAUAAAGGUUUUUAAUAAGACUUCAUCUGAACUUUCAGCUAAAUACUGCAGAUGGUGUUGUUCUAUGCAAUCUUAAGGUAGCAAUAGAAUUAGAGAUCACCUAUGAAAGAUUGAGAAAGUAAUGUCAAAGAACACAUGAAAACUCAAAUAGCUCAAAAUAUAUCCAUUUAUGUAAUAUUAAUUACUACAUAACCAAUAGUACACUAUACUGAGAAACUGUGAACCAAAAUAAAAUUAGAAAAUAAAUAAUAAACAAGGCAUGAAGCCAGAUAAACAAAAUGGUGACAGAGAAGUAUUAGGUUAGAAUUUAGAAGAGAAACCAUAAGAAUAAAGAAGGAUAAGAACCAUCCAGAUGUAACAAACUUUUAACAAUAAUAAAGAUUCAUAUCAAGGUUUUAAAUACGAGUCCGAUACUGAUUUUGGAAACUAUUAGGCCGGUAUGGUACCAAUACAUCAAUCGGGCAAUAUACCAACCUGUACCUAUCAUUUAAUAAAAUAUAAAAUUAUUAAAAAUGAAUGGUAAUUGUAAUGGUACCAAGCUAUACAUUUCGAUUCCAGUACCUGGUUGAAAUUGGUUGUUGCAUAUCAGUCCUACUGACAUCUAAAACCUCAAACAACAUCACAAUGCUUCUCUUGUAGCCAUGAACCUUAUACAGAUCCAGACCUGGAUGGCUGAAUCACAUCUCAGAAACCAGGUUGGUCUCCUGAUCAUGACAACUCUGCAAAUAGUUUGACUGCAGAGCUGAUUGAAGUAAAAGCUGCAACUACAGUACCUUCUAAUAUCCUUGCCUAUGUCUCUAGAUCUAAAAAGGAUAUACCCAAGUGCACGAGGCUCCCGUCAAUGUGAUGUAUGGGGGGCACUGAUGUACGCAGCCCUACCUUUGGUAGGUUUCCUGACUCAUACCCUGAUCUCCCAAGUCACAAAGGAACAAUCUUACAAUUGUAUCAACCUUGAUCUCCCUGGUCUACCUCUGUCUCUAGGCCUAAUAUCACAAAACCAAGUAUCACAUGACACAUACUUAAAGUGAUAUUAGUGAUUAAACCUGGUAUACAGUAAACAAGGGGUAUAAGAUGUGAAUGAAUGUGGCCAGCACUUCCCAUUCUAUCGUACACUCCAUGUCAUUAAAUCUCAUGGGAUCCUUAUAUGGCAACAGGCAGCAAGCCAAAACAAACUGUUACAUGCUUAUAGCUUAUUGUUCUCUUUCUUCUGCUCUCUCCAUCAAGUUCAAAUUUGGUGCUAAUAUAAUAUAAUGGAACUUGUUUAACAAUUUCAGUUAUACUGAAAAAUACAAAAAAACAAUAAUAUGGUGAAUUUUGGCAUGCAGGAAAUGUACUAAGAGUCAAAAGUAUAGUGUAACUAGGAAAAUAAAAAAAACAUUUAUUUAUUUUUAUACUGCAAAGAUCCCCAAACAAGAAUAGAAAAAAAAAAAUGAAGACUAAACGUUCAACAUGAAGUUAAACAUACGAGAACAAUGAAGUCCUUUGUCUGACUAUUUUCAUCAUCAAUCUCUCUGUCCAAACCAUCUCCCUGAUUUGCACUACAAGCAAAAAAGAUCCAAUAAGAAUAAGAAACCUAAUAAGAUGUUCCUACAUUGUUGAUGCAUCCAAAAUUACCUUCGUCCUAUUACAAAUCGUGCUACCACACCUUUUUCUGAUUCCAAUUUUUUCAUUGCUGCACCUGGGAACAAAAUGCAAGAUGAUCGGUACUCAGAGAGGCAAAGCAUUCAAAAGAGUCAUCAUCACCAAUGUAGAAUUAAAAGAACACAAUGCUUUUUACUUCCAAUGUAGAAUUAAAAAAACAUGAGUAUUUUUUCUUUUCUAGGAAAACAAGUAGGCAUUAUCACUUCAUACUUUAUAAAUAUGUCAUACAAGUACAUAUAUAUCAGCAAAACUAUCAACUAUUUGAGAUAUCCUCUUCGAAAAGGUUGAGUUCCCACCAUCCUCAACAAAGCUAGGGAUGUUCACGAGAUAUGCCUAGAAGAGAUGGCUCAAUUGAUACUCCAUUGUUAAAUUGUUGGACAUUCUGUUUGUGAAAUACUAUCACCAUGCAAUUGGAUGCCAUCAAACAUAAACUUGGAAGAAAGGUUUUCAUCUGAUUUUAUGAAAGUCAAAGUUACUUUGUAUGUCUAUUCGAGACAACAAAGGUGACAAUGUUCAGAAUUUUUCUUUUUCCUGCAAAGUUAAGUGAUGUAGGUGGGAUUUGAUUCCAAGACCUUGCGAUGAUCUGACAAACCCCUAAGCUAGCUAGCACCCUCAUAAUGUUCAGAAUUGCUAUAAGUAAUUGCAAAUUAAAAAAGAGAUGGUUUAUAAGUUUUAUGAUAAGCACAAUCAAGAAGAGCAGAACAUCAUGAGUUACCCAAGAAACAGAAAUUUCUUAGGAGAAAGAAGGCACGAUAACUAAAUAGCUUAACAUGAUACUACAGUAAAACCUUAUGUUGAACGAGACAAAAGUAU
rnacentral:lncRNA from 1 species